rnacentral:rRNA from 1 species
GAUGAACGCUGGCGGCGUGCCUAAUACAUGCAAGUCGAGCGAACGGACGAGAAGCUUGCUUCUCUGAUGUUAGCGGCGGACGGGUGAGUAACACGUGGAUACCUACCUAUAAGACUGGGAUAACUUCGGGAAACCGGAGCUAAUACCGGAUAAUAUUUUGAACCGCAUGGUUCAAAAGUGAAAGACGGUCUUGCUGUCACUUAUAGAUGGAUCCGCGCUGCAUUAGCUAGUUGGUAAGGUAACGGCUUACCAAGGCAACGAUGCAUAGCCGACCUGAGAGGGUGAUCGGCCACACUGGAACUGAGACACGGUCCAGACUCCUACGGGAGGCAGCAGUAGGGAAUCUUCCGCAAAGGGCGAAAGCCUGACGGAGCAACGCCGCGUGAGUGAUGAAGGUCUUCGGAUCGUAAAACUCUGUUAUUAGGGAAGAACAUAUGUGUAAGUAACUGUGCACAUCUUGACGGUACCUAAUCAGAAAGCCACGGCUAACUACGUG